rnacentral:rRNA from 1 species
AUUGAACGCUGGCGGAAUGCUUUACACAUGCAAGUCGAACGGUAGAGGGGGCAACCCCUCGAGAGUGGCGAACGGGUGAGUAAUAUAUCGGAACGUGCCCAGUCGUGGGGGAUAACGUAGUGAAAGUUACGCUAAUACCGCAUACGAUCUAAGGAUGAAAGCGGGGGAUCGCAAGACCUCGCGCGAUUGGAGCGGCCGAUAUCAGAUUAGGUAGUUGGUGGGGUAAAGGCUCACCAAGCCAACGAUCGGUAGCUGGUCUGAGAGGACGACCAGCCACACUGGAACUGAGACACGGUCCAGACUCCUACGGGAGGCAGCAGUGGGGAAUUUUGGACAUUGGACGCAAGUCUGAUCCAGCCAUUCCGCGUGCAGGAUGAAGGCCCUCGGGUUGUAAACUGCUUUUGUACGGAACGAAAAGGUCUCUCUUAAUACGGGGGACUCAUGACGGUACCGUAAGAAUAAGCACCGGCUAACUACGUGCCAGCCGCCGCGGUAA